GACGAACGCUGGCGGCGUGCUUAACACAUGCAAGUCGUACGGUAAGGCCCUUUCGGGGGUACACGAGUGGCGAACGGGUGAGUAACACGUGAGUAACCUGCCCACAACUUUGGGAUAACGCUAGGAAACUGGUGCUAAUACUGGAGAUGUGCUCCUGCUGCAUGGUGGGGGUUGGAAAGCUCCGGCGGUUGUGGAUGGACUCGCGGCCCAUCAGCUUGGUGGUGGGGUAGUGGCCUACCAAGGCGGGGACGGGUAGCCGGCCUGGGAGGGUGACCGGGCACAUUGGGACUGAGACACGGCCCAGACUCCGACGGGAGGCAGCAGUGGGGAAUAUUGCACAAUGGGCGCAAGCCUGAUGCAGCAACGCCGCGUGCGGGAGGACGGCCUUCGGGUUGUAAACCGCUUUCAGCAGGGACGAAGCUUUUUGUGACGGUACCUGCAGAAGAAGCACCGGCUAACUACGUG
rnacentral:rRNA from 1 species